rnacentral:rRNA from 1 species
UACGUAGGGUGCGAGCGUUGUUCGGAGUUACUGGGCGUAAAGCGCGUGUAGGCGGCAGGGCAAGUCUGGUGUGAAAUCCCGGGGCUUAACCUCGGGUUUGCGUUCGAUACUUGGUGGCUGGAGUGCGGGAGAGGGAAGUGGAAUUCCCGGUGUAGCGGUGAAAUGCGUAGAUAUCGGGAGGAACGCCGGUGGCGAAGGCGGCUUCCUGGCCCGUUACUGACGCUGAGGCACGAAAGCCAGGGGAGCGAACCGG